rnacentral:rRNA from 1 species
AUUGAACGCUGGCGGCAGGCUUAACACAUGCAAGUCGAGCGGAGAGAGGUAGCUUGCUACUGAUCUUAGCGGCGGACGGGUGAGUAAUGCUUAGGAAUCUGCCUAUUAGUGGGGGACAACAUUUCGAAAGGAAUGCUAAUACCGCGUACGUCCUACGGGAGAAAGCAGGGGAUCUUCGGACCUUGCGCUAAUAGAUGAGCCUAAGUCGGAUUAGCUAGUUGGUGGGGUAAAGGCCUACCAAGGCGACGAUCUGUAGCGGGUCUGAGAGGAUGACCCGCCACACUGGGACUGAGACACGGCCCAGACUCCUACGGGAGGCAGCAGUGGGGAAUAUUGGACAAUGGGCGGAAGCCUGAUCCAGCCAUGCCGCGUGUGUGAAGAAGGCCUUAUGGUUGUAAAGCACUUUAAGCGAGGAGGAGGCUACUUUAGUUAAUACCUAGAGAUAGUGGACGUUACUCGCAGAAUAAGCACCGGCUAACUCUGUGCCAGCAGCCGCCGUAA